GGUGUGUCCGCACGCGUUCCUCUUGCAAGCCUCGUUUGUUUCUUGUUUGAAGUUUAUCUAAAUUACUAAUAAGAAAUUUAUUUCAUUUUAUCGGUAUUUGUGUUGUAAAUUUGAGGUACGUUGCGUUAUAUCACUGAAAAUUGAAUUCGUUACGAAAAAUGGAUUGUAACGAUAAUCCAGCAUUUACGGCAUGUGCUUGCUGCAAACCACGGGGAACAUCAGUUGUAGUACGCCAUCGUUUCACUGUAAUUUUGUCUGCGGAUUUGGUUUAUCGACGUUAUGGUUCAUCCGAGAUGAAUUCAACGCCAUUUAUCCUUGCAGGAUACACUAGAAUGACUAGAAGUUUGCAAAUUCCGAUGUCCUAAGAUGUUAGAGGAAUAAACUCCAGGUUCUUUGACAACGUGUUAUUGAACAUUAAAAUCAAUGUGUUUUUUUAAGUUCAAGUUUUUGACGCAGAUUGAUAAGCAGAACGCUGGCUUUGAAGAAAACUGAAAAAGGAUGAAGAAGAAUAAUUGGUCGUUAUCUGACACAUUCCCUGUCAGAUAAGCUCGCUUACCACCAACUCUAUAUUUGUCCUGCAUAGUAUUCCGGAAGAGAGAAGGUAGACAAAAGGAAUGUGACCUGUUCUUAACAAAAUUUAUUUGUAUAUUAUCAAAAUAAGUGAGGAAAGUUUAAUAUUGCUGAUAAACAGCACCAAAUUUAAUACGCUCAGAAAUUGAAACCGCACAAGUCUUAUAGUCUAGUUUCAUUGUUUCAAAGUAUAGUUAUUAUUUGUUGAAAACAAUGCAAUACUUGUGUUAACAGUGUGAUAUGAUUUAGAAAGACAGCGCAAAAUUUGCAAAACGUAUGUAACAAAUUUUAUUCAAACAGCAUAGACAGCGCAUGACUGUUCUAAAUUUAAUUUACCCACUUGAGAAAAUAGAGCAUGACACACUGUAUUUAAGGCGUCCUAACUUGCGAUAUAUAUUUAAUGAGGCCAGAAAUAUGUAUCAAUUUGUAUGAUUAUUGUAAUAUGUGUCUGUGAUAAAUGUGCACGAUUUUUCUGUUAUCAUAUUAGAAAUUAGUAUAUAAGUGAAUAUUGUAGGUAUUUGUGUGUUGUGUCAUCUUUUGUUACACAUGUCGUAGAAAUUAGGUAGACUUAUUGUAAUAUGUUGAUCUAGUAGGAGUAAUGGUAAUAAUUAGUAGUAAUAUCAAGUAAGGCAUGGUCGUGGUUUUUGUGCGUAAAUUUAAAUGUGCAUUGUUAUUCCAUUGUUAAUUUACGUUGUGAUUUUGAUUGCACCUUGUGUUAUU